GCCCCUAUAGCUCAGUGGUAGAGUAUGUCACUCGUAUAACGGUAUCUUUAACAAGAUGCUCGUACAAGCGACAUGACAGGGUCCGUCGUUCAAUCCGGCGUGGGGGCA